rnacentral:rRNA from 1 species
AGUGAACGCUGGCGGUAGGCCUAACACAUGCAAGUCGAACGGCAGCACAGGAGAGCUUGCUCUCUGGGUGGCGAGUGGCGGACGGGUGAGGAAUACAUCGGAAUCUACCUUUUCGUGGGGGAUAACGUAGGGAAACUUACGCUAAUACCGCAUAAGACCUUCGGGUGAAAGCCGGGGACCUUCGGGCCUGGCGCGGAUAGAUGAGCCGAUGUCGGAUUAGCUUGUUGGCGGGGUAAAAGCCCACCAAGGCGACGAUCCGUAGCUGGUCUGAGAGGAUGAUCAGCCACACUGGAACUGAGACACGGUCCAGACUCCUACGGGAGGCUG